rnacentral:rRNA from 1 species
UACGUAGGUGGCAAGCGUUGUCCGGAUUUACUGGGCGUAAAGAGCGCGCAGGCGGUUGUUUAAGUCGAAUGUGAAAGCCCCCGGCUCAACUGGGGAGGGUCAUUCGAUACUGAUCGACUUGAAGGCAGGAGAGGGAAGUGGAAUUCCUGGUGUAGAGGUGAAAUUCGUAGAUAUCAGGAGGAACACCAGUGGCGAAGGCGGCUUUCUGGACGGUAACUGACGCUGAGACGCGAAAGCGUGGGGAGCAAACAGG